GGCAACCUACUCCAGUCCCCUUUCACACUGUGGAAGCUUUGUUUUCUUGCUCUUUGCAAUAAAUCUUGCUACUGUUCACUCUUUGGGUCCACGCUGCUUUUAUGAGCUGUAACACUCCCCGUGGAGAUCUGCAGCUUCACUCCUGAGCCCAGCAAGACCACAAGCCUACUGGGAGGAAUGAACAACUCCAGACGUGCUACCUUAAGAGCUGUAACACUCACUGUGAAGGUCUGCAGCUUCACUCCAGAGCCAGCGAGACCACAAACCCACCAGAAGGAAGAAACUCCAAACACAUCUGAACAUCAGAAGGGACAGACUCCAAACACGCCACCUUAAGAGCUGUAACACUCACUGCGAGGGUCUGCGGCUUCAUUGUUGGAGUCAGGGAGACCAAAAACCCACCAAUUCCGGACACAAAAUGAUCUUCUCACCUCAGCCUCCCAAGUAGCUGGUACCCAGGUCUGCAGCUUCACUCCUGCCUGAGCCAGCAAGACCACGAACCCACCAGAAGGAAGAAACUCCGAACACAUCCGAACAUCAGAAGGAACAAACUCCAGACGCGCCACCUUAAGAGCUGUAAUAGUCACCGCGAGGGUCCGCGGCUUCGUUCUUGAAGUCAGUGAGACCAAGAACCCACCAAUUCCGGACACACCACCACUCCCGGCUAUUUUUGUGUGUGGGUAUUUUUAGUAGAGGCAGGGUUUUGCCAUGCUGCCCAGGUUGGUCUUGAACUCCUGACUCAAGCAAUCCACCCAUGUCAGCCUCCCAAAGUGUUGGGAUUACAGGAGUGAGCCACUGCGCCCAGCCUCUUUUAAUAUCUGUAUAGUUUCAUGUAUUACACUUGGAUCCUUGAUCCAUUUAGAGUUAAUUCCUGUGUGUGGUGUACAGAUUGGACCUCAUUUUAUAUUUUUCCAGAUAACUAGUCAGUAUACCCAGCACCUUUUACAAAUCUUUGUCCCAGUAACAUAUAUUUAUUCUUUAAAAAUUCUGGUGAUAAAUACAAGUUUAAGGAAGAAAAAAAUCACAAACAAAUCCUACCCAGAGAUAACCGCAAAUUAUGUUUUGGUAGACUGCUCUGGUUUAAAUAUUUGACCCCUCUGAAACUCAUGUUGAAACGUACUCCCCAAUGUAACAGUAUUAAGAGGUGAGGCUUUUAAGAGGUUAUUGGGUCAUGAGGGCUGUGCCCUCAUUAAUGGAUUAAUCCAUUCAUGGAUUCAUGGGUAAUCAUGGGACUGGGUCUGUUAUAAAAGCCAGUUUGGCAAGUUCUUGUCCUCUCACCAUGUGAUGCCCUCUGCCAUAUUAUGAUGCUGUAAGAAGUCCCUUACCAGAAGUGGUCCCUCAACCUUGGACAACCAGCCUCCAGAACUGUAAGAAAUAAAUUUCUUUUCUUUGUAAAUUACCCAGUCUCGGGUACUCAGUUAUAGCAACAGGAAACAGAUUAAGACAAUGACC
rnacentral:lncRNA from 1 species